UACGUAGGGGGCGAGCGUUGUCCGAAGUUACUGGGCGUAAAGCGCGCGUAGGCGGCUGUUUAAGUCUGGGGUGAAAGGUUCAACGCUUAACGUGAACAGUGCCUUGGAGACUGGACGGCUUGAAUGUGGCAGAGGAUAGUGGAAUGGCUGGUGUAGCGGUGAAAUGCGUAGAUAUCAGUCGGAACACCCAUGGCGAAGGCAGCUAUCUGGGCUAACAUUGACGCUGAGGUGCGAAAGCGUGGGGAGCGAACGGG
rnacentral:rRNA from 1 species